rnacentral:rRNA from 1 species
UACAGAGGCCACAAGCGUUAAUCGGAAUCACUGGGCUUAAAGGGUGCGUAGGCGGGUUCGUAAGUGCUUUGUGAAAGCCCUCGGCUCAACCGAGGAACUGCACGGCAUACUGCGAAGCUCGAGGAAUCUAGAGGCCGGCAGAACGAUAGGUGGAGCGGUGGAAUGCGUAGAGAUCUAUCGGAAUGCCAAAGGUGAAGACAGCCGGCUGGGGAUUUCCUGACGCUGAGGCACGAAGGCGUGGGGAGCAAACAGG